UUAAAUUACUACAUUAUUUUUGGGAGUCAUGGAGGAAACAUGAAUGAAAAACAUCCUUUUUCCUGACAGAAUGAUAGCGGCAGGGAAGACAAUGAUCAUUACGUUCAGUGAUACAAUGGAGAGGAACAUGCGAUCAUCCAGUGGCACAAUGUCCCAGAAAUGUCAUUCAGUCAUGUGGAAGAGGAAUGGACUGGACCUUUUGUCAUGAGUGUGGUCACUGGCCACUUCAGUCUUGGAAGAAUUCAGUGUGUUCAUUGUACUAAGAUAUCAAUGACUUUACAUGAACCCAAAGCAGUAUUUUGUGUCUCUGUUG
rnacentral:lncRNA from 1 species